rnacentral:rRNA from 1 species
UGAACGCUGGCGGCAUGCCUUACACAUGCAAGUCGAACGGUAACGCGGGGCAACCUGGCGACGAGUGGCGAACGGGUGAGUAAUGCAUCGGAACGUGCCCAGUAGUGGGGGAUAGCCCGGCGAAAGCCGGAUUAAUACCGCAUACGACCUAAGGGUGAAAGCGGGGGAUCGCAAGACCUCGCGCUAUUGGAGCGGCCGAUGUCAGAUUAGGUAGUUGGUGAGGUAAAGGCUCACCAAGCCUACGAUCUGUAGCUGGUCUGAGAGGACGACCAGCCACACUGGGACUGAGACACGGCCCAGACUCCUACGGGAGGCAGCAGUGGGGAAUUUUGGACAAUGGGCGCAAGCCUGAUCCAGCCAUGCCGCGUGCGGGAAGAAGGCCUUCGGGUUGUAAACCGCUUUUGUCAGGGAAGAAACGCUCUGGGAUAAUACCCUGGGGUAAUGACGGUACCUGAAGAAUAAGCACCGGCUAACUAC